UACGGAGGGUGCAAGCAUUAAUCGGAUUUAUUGGGCGUAAAGGGCGCGUAGGUGGGAAGCUAAGUCAGAUGUGAAAUCCCGGGGCUUAACCCCGGAACAGCAUUUGAAACUGACUUUCUAGAGGAUAGGCGGGGAAAAUGGAAUUCCACAAGUAGCGGUGAAAUGCGUAGAUAUGUGGAAGAACACCGGUGGCGAAGGCGAUUUUCUAGCUUAUACCUGACACUGAAGCGCGAAAGCAAGGGGAUCAAACAGG
rnacentral:rRNA from 1 species